CACCAUUUUUACUUCAGGUUAGACCACCUCAGGUUUUAUCUGUUUGGAAAGCAGGAAGGGUUAUAUUAUUCUGCAAAAAAAGGAACACAACUAGAGUUGAUAAUCUCAGGAACGUGAAAAAAUUUCAAUUGAACAAUCUUAAAGUUCAUCUAUCUAUGCAUGAAGAAUUCAUGGAUGCCAAGAACUUAUAACAGUAUGUUAACGAAGCUCCAUACAUCGUCUUACCUAUUUCUUUGAUCACAUUUUGAGAAAGUGAAUUCCUGUCUGCAAAAUAAGCGCCUUAGUAAACUUAGUAAACGGAAAUUAUAAAAUAACUUCUCAAGCUCAUUAUUUAUUACCUUUUCUGAUUAUGCAAGCCCACUUUAAUAUAUAAAGAAAGUCUUAGAUAUAUAGCCUACUUAUUAUUUUCUCACAAAUGUUUCACUCAUAUACACAGUAUUUAAAGCCUUUGUUUUAA